GAUGAACGCUGGCGGCGUGCCUAAUACAUGCAAGUCGAGCGGUAAGGUUCUGCACUUAGUGUUUGACCAGACAGGUCCAAGCGAUUGGAAAUCGUCUGAGCGUGACUCCUUGGCUAAGGGGUCAAGUCGAAUGUUGAGUGUAGAAUACACGAGCGGCGGACGGGUGAGUAACGCGUAAGAAUGUACCCCAAACUGAGGGAUAAGCACCAGAAAUGGUGUCUAANACCGCAUGUGCUCUUCGGAGUAAAGCUUCGGCGGUUUGGGAACAGCUUGCGUCUGAUUAGCUAGUUGGUAAGGUAAUGGCUUACCAAGGCGACGAUCAGUAGCGGGUCUGAGAGGAUGAUCCGCCACACUGGGACUGAGACACGGCCCAGACUCCUACGGGAGGC
rnacentral:rRNA from 1 species